rnacentral:piRNA from 1 species
UGGCCAUUCCUUCAGUCUCUGCUCCA